UACGAGAGGUCCAAACGUUAUUCGGAAUUACUGGGCUUACAGAGUUCGUAGGCGGCUCUACAAGUGAGGUGUGAAAGCCCUCGGCUCAACCGAGGAACUGCGCUUCAAACUGUAGAACUAGAGGGAGAUAGAGGUGAGCAGAACUGAUGGUGGAGCGGUGAAAUGCGCAGAUAUCAGGAAGAACACCCGUGGCGAAGGCGGCUCUCUGGGACGGUACUGACGCUGAGACGCGAAAGCGUGGGGAGCGAACAGG
rnacentral:rRNA from 1 species